rnacentral:rRNA from 2 species
GGCGGCGUGCUUAACACAUGCAAGUCGAGCGGUAAGGCCCCUUCGGGGGUACACGAGCGGCGAACGGGUGAGUAACACGUGAGCAACCUACCCUCAACUUUGGGAUAAGCCUCGGAAACGGGGUCUAAUACCGAAUAUCAUCUUCUGCUUCAUGGCGGGGGGUUGAAAGUUCUGGCGGUUGGGGAUGGGCUCGCGGCCUAUCAGCUUGUUGGUGGGGUAAUGGCCUACCAAGGCGUCGACGGGUAGCCGGCCUGAGAGGGCGACCGGCCACACUGGGACUGAGACACGGCCCAGACUCCUACGGGAGGCAGCAGUGGGGAAUAUUGCGCAAUGGACGAAAGUCUGACGCAGCAACGCCGCGUGAGGGAUGACGGCCUUCGGGUUGUAAACCUCUUUCAGCAGGGACGAAGCGAGAGUGACGGUACCUGCAGAAGAAGGACCGGCCAACUACGUGCCAGCAGCCGCGGUAAUACGUAGGGUCCGAGCGUUGUCCGGAAUUAUUGGGCGUAAAGGGCUCGUAGGCGGUUCGUCACGUCGGGAGUGAAAACUCGGGGCUUAACCCCGAGCCUGCUUCCGAUACGGGCAGACUAGAGGUAGGCAGGGGAGAGCGGAACUCCUGGUGUAGCGGUGGAAUGCGCAGAUAUCAGGAAGAACACCGGUGGCGAAGGCGGCUCUCUGGGCCUUACCUGACGCUGAGGAGCGAAAGCGUGGGUAGCGAACAGGAUUAGAUACCCUGGUAGUCCACGCCGUAAACGUUGGGCGCUAGGUGUGGGGGACAUUCCACGUCCUCCGUGCCGCAGCUAACGCAUUAAGCGCCCCGCCUGGGGAGUACGGCCGC